AGAGUUUGAUCCUGGCUCAGGACGAACGCUGGCGGCGUGCCUAAUACAUGCAAGUCGAGCGAGCAGAACCAGCAGAUUUACUUCGGUAAUGACGCUGGGGACGCGAGCGGCGGAUGGGUGAGUAACACGUGGGGAACCUGCCCCAUAGUCUAGGAUACCACUUGGAAACAGGUGCUAAUACCGGAUAAUAAAGCAGAUCGCAUGAUCAGCUUAUAAAAGGCGGCGUAAGCUGUCGCUAUGGGAUGGCCCCGCGGUGCAUUAGCUUGAUGCUAACGUAACGGCUUACCAAGGCAAUGAUGCAUAGCCGAGUUGAGAGACUGAACGGCCACAUUGGGACUGAGACACGGCCCAAACUCCUACGGGAGGCAGCAGUAGGGAAUCUUCCACAAUGGACGCAAGUCUGAUGGAGCAACGCCGCGUGAGUGAAGAAGGUUUUCGGAUCGUAAAGCUCUGUUGUUGGUGAAGAAGGAUAGAGGUAGUAACUGGCCUUUAUUUGACGGUAAUCAACCAGAAAGUCACGGCUAACUACGUGCCAGCAGCCGCGGUAAUACGUAGGUGGCAAGCGUUGUCCGGAUUUAUUGGGCGUAAAGCGAGCGCAGGCGGAAGAAUAAGUCUGAUGUGAAAGCCCUCGGCUUAACCGAGGAAUUGCAUCGGAAACUGUUUUUCUUGAGUGCAGAAGAGGAGAGUGGAACUCCAUGUGUAGCGGUGGAAUGCGUAGAUAUAUGGAAGAACACCAGUGGCGAAGGCGGCUCUCUGGUCUGCAACUGACGCUGAGGCUCGAAAGCAUGGGUAGCGAACAGGAUUAGAUACCCUGGUAGUCCAUGCCGUAAACGAUGAGUGCUAAGUGUUGGGAGGUUUCCGCCUCUCAGUGCUGCAGCUAACGCAUUAAGCACUCCGCCUGGGGAGUACGACCGCAAGGUUGAAACUCAAAGGAAUUGACGGGGGCCCGCACAAGCGGUGGAGCAUGUGGUUUAAUUCGAAGCAACGCGAAGAACCUUACCAGGUCUUGACAACUAGUGCCAUCCUAAGAGAUUACCAGUUCCCUUCCGGCACGCUAAGACACGUGGUGCAUGGCAGUCGUCAGCUCGUGUCGUGAGAUGUUGGGUUAAGUCCCGCAACGAGCGCAACCCCUAUUAUUAGUUGCCAGCAUUAAGUUGGGCACUCUAAUGAGACUGCCGGUGACAAACCGGAGGAAGGUGGGGAUGACGUCAAGUCAUCAUGCCCCUUAUGACCUGGGCUGCACACGUGCUACAAUGGGCAGUACAACGAGAAGCGAGCCUGCGAAGGCAAGCGAAUCUCUGAAAGCUGUUCUCAGUUCGGACUGCAGUCUGCAACUCGACUGCACCAAGCUGGAAUCGCUAGUAAUCGCGGAUCAGAUCGCCGCGGUGAAUACGUUCCCGGGCCUUGUACACACCGCCCGUCACACCAUGGAAGUCUGCAAUGCCCAAAGCCGGUGGCCUAACCUUCGGGAAGGAGCCGUCUAAGGCAGGGCUGAUGACUGCGGUGAUGUCGUAACAAGGUAGCCGUAGGAGAACCUGCGGCUGGAUCACCUCCUU
rnacentral:rRNA from 1 species